rnacentral:rRNA from 1 species
GAUGAACGCUAGCUACAGGCUUAACACAUGCAAGUCGAGGGGAAACGACAUCGAAAGCUUGCUUUUGAUGGGCGUCGACCGGCGCACGGGUGAGUAACGCGUAUCCAACCUGCCCACCACUUGGGGAUAACCUUGCGAAAGUAAGACUAAUACCCAAUGAUAUCCCACGAAGGCAUCCGAAUGGGAUUAAAGAUUUAUCGGUGAUGGAUGGGGAUGCGUCUGAUUAGCUUGUUGGCGGGGUAACGGCCCACCAAGGCUACGAUCAGUAGGGGUUCUGAGAGGAAGGUCCCCCACAUUGGAACUGAGACACGGUCCAAACUCCUACGGGAGGCAGCAGUGAGGAAUAUUGGUCAAUGGGCGGAAGUCUGAACCAGCCAAGUAGCGUGCAGGAUGACGGCCCUAUGGGUUGUAAACUGCUUUUAUGUGGGAAUAAAGUGAGGGACGUGUCCCUUUUUGUAGGUACCACAUGAAUAAGGACCGGCUAAUUCCGUG